CCUACGGGCGGCUGCAGUGAGGAAUAUUGGUCAAUGGUCGAGAGACUGAACCAGCCAAGCCGCGUGAGGGAUGAAGGUACAGAGUAUCGUAAACCUCUUUUGUCAGGGAACAAAGGCGGGGACGUGUCCCCGGACGAGUGUACCUGAAGAAAAAGCAUCGGCUAACUCCGUGCCAGCAGCCGCGGUAAUACGGAGGAUGCGAGCGUUAUCCGGAUUUAUUGGGUUUAAAGGGUGCGCAGGCGGAAUGUAAAGUCAGCGGUCAAAGCCCGGGGCUCAACCCCGCCCCGCCGUUGAAACUGGGUGUCUCGAGUUGGAGAGAAGUACGCGGAAUGCGCGGUGUAGCGGUGAAAUGCAUAGAUAUCGCGCAGAACUCCGAUGGCGAAGGCAGCAGGCCGGCUCCACACUGACGCUGAGGCACGAAAGCGUGGGUAUCGAACAGGAUUAGAUACCCUAGUAGUC
rnacentral:rRNA from 1 species